GAUGAACGCUGGCGGCGUGCCUAAUACAUGCAAGUCGAGCGAACAGAUCAGGAGCUUGCUCCUCUGACGUUAGCGGCGGACGGGUCCGUCACAUGUGGAUAACAUAACUAUCAGACUGGGAUAACUUCGGGAAACAGGAGCUAAUACCGGAUAAUAUAUUGCAUUGCAUGGUUCCCUCGUGAAAGUCGGUUUUGCUGUCACUUAUAGCUUGAUCCGCGCAGCAUUCGCUAGUUGGUAAGGUAACGGCUUACCCAGGCGACGAUGCGUAACCGACCUGAAAGCGUGAUCGGCCAGACUGGAACUGAGGCACAGUCCAGACACCUGCGGGGAGCAACAGUAGAGAAUCUUCCGCAAUGGGCGAGUGGCUGACGGAGCAACACCGCGUGAGUGAUGAAGGACUUCGGAUCGGAGAACGCUGUUAGUAGGGGAGAACAAAAGUGUAAGUAACUAUGCACGUCUUGACGGUACCUAGACAGAAAGCCACGGCUAACUACGUG
rnacentral:rRNA from 1 species